rfam:Gossypium hirsutum cultivar TM-1 chromosome 17, whole genome shotgun sequence
UAUUAAAAAUUUUAUCUUUUUGUACUGUUAAAAAUUGACAUGGCUGAUAGAAUAAUUAUAUAGUGAUAUGUGGUGUGCCACGUGUACUUUAUGCUUAUGUACAAUGGUCAGUUUUUAACAAUAGAAAUGGAUUUAAUUUUUAAGC